UAACUCUUUUAUAAUUGGCUUUGAAAGGUA
rnacentral:piRNA from 1 species